rnacentral:rRNA from 1 species
GAUGAACGCUGGCGGCGUGCCUAAUACAUGCAAGUCGAGCGAACAGACGAGGAGCUUGCUCCUCUGACGUUAGCGGCGGACGGGUGAGUAACACGUGGAUAACCUACCUAUAAGACUGGGAUAACUUCGGGAAACCGGAGCUAAUACCGGAUAAUAUAUUGAACCGCAUGGUUCAAUAGUGAAAGACGGUGUUGCUGUCACUUAUAGAUGGAUCCGCGCCGCAUGAGCUAGUUGGUAAGGUAACGGCUUACCAAGGCAACGAUGCGUAGCCGACCUGAGAGGGUGAUCGGCCACACUGGAACUGAGACACGGUCCAGACUCCUACGGGAGGCAGCAGUAGGGAAUCUUCCGCAAUGGGCGAAAGCCUGACGGAGCAACGCCGCGUGAGUGAUGAAGGUCUUCGGAUCGUAAAACUCUGUUAUUAGGGAAGAACAAAUGUGUAAGUAACUAUGCCCGUCUUGACGGUACCUAAUCAGAAAGCCACGGCUAACUACGUG